GGCGCUAUAGCCAAGUGGUUACGGCGACAGAUUCGAACUAACAGUACAAUCUGUUCCUCUUUGAGGGCGCAGGUUCAAAUCCUGCUGGCGUCG